rnacentral:tRNA from 1 species
GGCGGCGUAGCUCAGUUGGUUAGAGCGUGGGACUCAUAAGCCCAAGGUCGGUGGUUCGAUCCCACCCGCCGCUACCA